rnacentral:rRNA from 1 species
UACGUAGGGUGCGAGCGUUAAUCGGAAUUACUGGGCGUAAAGCGUGCGCAGGCGGUUCGUUGUGUCGGUGGUGAAAGCCCCGGGCUUAACCUGGGAAUGGCCAUGGAAACUGGCGAACUGGAGUGUGGCAGAGGGGGGUGGAAUUCCUGGUGUAGCGGUGAAAUGCGCAGAUAUCAGGAGGAACACCUACGGCGAAGGCAGCUCGCUGGGACGGUACUGACGCUGAGGCGCGAAAGCGUGGGUAGCAAACAGG